UUACGGCCACAUCACGUUGAAACCCCUGUUCCCGUACGAUCACCGAAGUUAAGCAACAUCGAGACUGGUCAGUACCUAGAUGGCUAACCGCUUGGAAAUACCAGGUGCUGUAAG